GACGAACGCUGGCGGCAUGCUUAACACAUGCAAGUCGAACGGACAGGCCCUGCUUUUGUGGGGUGCUCGAGUGGCGCACGGGUGAGUAACACGUGAGUAACCUGCCCUUGACUUUGUGAUAACUUCAGGAAACUUGGUCUCAUACCGGAUAGGAUCUCCUGCUGCAUGGUGUGGGUUUGAAAGUUUCGGCCUUUGGGGAUGGACUCGCUGCUUAUCAGCUUGUUUGUGUGGUAGUGGCUUACCAAGGCUUUGCCGGGUAGCCGGCAUGAGAGGGUGAACGGCGACAUUGGGACUGAGAUACGGCGCAGACUCCUACGGGAGGCAGAAGUGGGGAAUAUUGCACAAUGGGCGGAAGCCUGAGGCAGCAACGCCGCGUGCGGGAUGACGGCCUUCGGGUUGUAAACCGCUUUCGCCUGUGACGAAGAGUGAGUGACGGUAAUGGGUAAAGAAGCACCGGCUAACUACGUG
rnacentral:rRNA from 1 species